rnacentral:snRNA from 1 species
GGAUGUGAAGGCGAUCUGGCUGUGACAUCUGUCACCCCACUGGUCUCCAGUCUUGAUUCCACUGAUCUGGCUGGCUAGGCAGGUGUCCCCUCCCUCCCUCACCACUCCAUGUGCAUCCCUCCCGAACCUGCAUGCUCUGUUGAAGAGGACGACCUUCCCCACUAGAGCAGGACCAUUCUUCGGUCAAGGGUAUACGAGUAGCUGUGCUCCCCUCGUAGAACCUCCAAACAGGUUCUCAAGAUAUUUGAGAAUUAUCAGAAUAUAUUAUUAAAGAAAACCCUAAGUUGAUUACACAAUAUCAUAUUUUCAUUGUGAUCAUUUUUAUUG